UGAAUACUCCCUUCGUUCAGAAAUACUUGUCCUAGAAAUGGAUAAAAUGGAUGUAUCUAUAACUAAAAUAAGUCUAGAUACAUUCAUUUCUAGGACAAGUAUUUUCGGACGGAGGGAGUGUUAU
rnacentral:pre_miRNA from 1 species